AUUCCUACGGGAGGCAGCAGCCAAGAAUAUUCCGCAAUGGGGGAAACCCUGACGAGCGACGCCGCGUGGAGGAUGAAGGCAUUCGUGUUGUAAACUUCUUUUUUAAGGGAAGAAUAAGUCUGGUAGGAAAUGACUGGAUGAUGACGGUACCUUAAGAAUAAGCCCCGGCUGAUUACGUGCCAGCAGCCGCGGUAAUAAU
rnacentral:rRNA from 1 species